GAUGAACGCUAGCUACAGGCUUAACACAUGCAAGUCGAGGGACCGGCGCACGGGUGAAUAACACGUAUCCAACCUGCCCUUUACUCGGGGAUAGCCUUUCGAAAGAAAGAUUAAUACCCGAUAUAAAGGAUGGGGAUGCGUUCCAUUAGGUUGUGGGUGAGGUAACGGCUCACCAAGCCUUCGACGGAUGGGGGUUCUGAGAGGAAGGUCCCCGCCAUUGGAUCUGAGACCCGGUCCACUCUCCUACGUGAGGCAGCAGUGAGGACUAUUGGUCACUGGGCGCUAGCCUGACCCAGCCACGUAGAGUGAAGGAUGGAGGCUUAUGGGUCGUAAACUUCUUUUAUAUAAGAAUAUGUAUUAUAUGAAUAAGGAUCGGCUAACUCCGUGCCAGCAGCCGCGGUAAUUC
rnacentral:rRNA from 1 species